rnacentral:lncRNA from 1 species
AAAAGCCCCAAGGACCGGGAAGAUGGAGGCGGCCGCAGCGGGCGAGGGGCGGGGACCCUCGCCUCCCCCUGCGGGGUCACCUUGGCCAGGGCCCCCGCGGCCCUUGGCUGCCGCGGAGGUGAUAGAAAUGCCUCUUGGAAGGCCCUGAUUUCCCCGCCCAGUCCAGAUCCAGGACCGCGCAGGCAAAGGCCUUUCAAUUCCGACAGGUUCGAGGCCACGCUUCUCUCUUCCAGCUUUGCCUUGUCUUCAGCCUCAGUUGCCCUCCUGGUGAAAUAAGCACAAGGCCUGGCACAACCAAUCCAGGAUUCCGUUAUCUUGGUGACAUCCGCCUGGACAACCUGGGUCCCCUAAUCUGAGCGCCGCCGGGGUCAUCGCACUUGGCGUCAGUAAGUUCAAUGAGUUGGUCACUGAAAAGUGGAUGUAAGUCAGUAACGCUUGCACACCGCAGCCAAGCUGUUUCCCACCUUUUCCUGGGAAGCUCAGACUUGGCGUUCUUUAGUGUUUUCUUUGGGCGAGUCUUGAGUCCACGCCUAAUAUCUUUUUACCUGUCUGGUGACAAAUCUCAGUUCAAAAAGACAGCCCUCCUGAUCCGAAGUUGGACUUGAACUCAGGAAACGAAAAGGCACUUCAAAGUCAGCAUCACCAGUAGGUGAAGUACUGACUCCGGGUUGGAAAUCUGUUAUUCGGGCAUUUGAUGCCUCGGUCUGCGCCAGAGCCACAUCAAGACAUGAAUCUUGAUCAUGGGGCAUCCCCAUUCCCAGGCACUGCUCUUGGCACACGCUCCUGGUCUGGUGCGAAGGUAGGCACAUAAUUGGUGCUCCUGAUGUGGUGAUCAAAUGGAUACGUAGUCAGUGCUCUUAACUGAUUAUGUAGUCAUGAUGGGUGCUUCGGUUUGAACGAAGACACAUAUUAGAUUCUUAUGAUCUUUUAAUACAUGAAAGGGAUUUAGGAAGAGGUCGGUUCACCAGGAGUAAGGCGGGGAUAAUGCCCCCCCACCCCCAUUUCCCCUGUGUGGAUAAUGUCGCAGUGCUGCCGGGUUAAAUAUUAGCUGGCAGAUGGACCCGGAGAAGGCCAGCUCUGGGACCUAAAGCUUGCUUCCAGGAAGAGGCUGUUAAAGGGCCGCCGAACAUCACUAGAGUCUGAGGCGAGGGACUGCAAAGCGCCCUCUCCCGGCAUCUUGAAUCUGCAAUUUAGUUAUUCUGUUAUUCUGUUAACCCAGCCCUAGUGCAGUAUCUCACCUAAGCUGACUACAGGAACUGAGGCACAUCGGUAGUGUGAAACUGGUGUACUAGUUAGUAUAAAUCUGUUU